ensembl:lncRNA
CACGUCAGGUGCGAGCACAGAAUCUGAGCAAAAGGAGGGGAGGGGUUUCGGGUUCAUAACUUCAACCCGAUGCAAAGAGUUGAAUCCCCUGUGGGCACGUAGAGAAGUUUUCAAGUUUGUGUAUUAGGUUUCGCUCUCCUCAGAAUGAAAAGAUCUCCCCCCACACGUUAGUCAGCUGACUUGUAGCCUCAUCUGCGAAUUCUAUGUCGUACUUGUAAAGUUCUAAAUCGUAUCUGUCUCAUUGAAGUUAGACUGGAACUAUUCCGCCGGUUACUCAACAGGUGACGUUGUAGGAAGCCUGUAAGAGCUUUACAGAAGUGUCGUAGCCUACUUUGGGGAGAACAGGACAUAAAAGACCUUGCCCAAGCGUAAGGUUAUCUGUUCUCCAAAAAGGAGCUUGACAAUCCAACCAAACACAGUCUGGAAAUGGAUAAGGAUAUUGAAUUCAAGACUGAAUGGUACUACCCGCUGGACAACAACGAAGGAAGUAGUGAGCUUGCUCCAAAAAAGAAAUCAGGCAUGAUGGGGAUGAUGCAGAAAGUCAACCCAUUCAAAUCCUCUUCUCAGAGCUCCACAGCUGGACCACGAGCAGAGGCCUCAGUGGGGACUGCAGGAGGACAAGGCCCAGGCACCAAACAGGUCAGCCAGUGGACUCCACUCGUGUGUGUGUGUGUGUGUGUGUGUGUGCGUGUGCGUGCAGCCCUGAAACACAGCAGAGUGAUGUAUUGUGAAUGUGUGUCUUAGAGAAACAUCUCUUUAUCUCUGUCUGUCUGUCUGUCUUUUGCUCAUUUCUCUCUUACUUUGUGUGUGUGUGUGUGUGUGUUGUACAUGUACCACUGAUAUUAUUGUUUAACAUGUUGUGUUGUAGAAUCCUGGCAUGUUUGUUGGUGUCAUGCAGAAAGUCAACCCCUUCAAGUCAUCCACAGAAGUAUGGACCCCUUUCACUGUAUCCUACUUCCUCCCAACCUCACUGUUUUAAAUUCACACCUGACCUGAUCUGGUGGAUGGAUAUUCAGAAACACAUACCUUUUUUGUGUUAUUGAUAUUUUCCUUUGUCCCACAGGCGAGAAAGGCUGAACCCUUGCCUUACUCUGAGGAGGAUCAGACAACAGUCAAGGUGUGUGUGUGUGUGUGUCUCUCUGUGUUUGUGUGUGUGUGUGUGUGUGUGUGUGUGUGUGUGUGUGUAUGUGUGAGCAUGGCAAGCAUGUGAAUUGUUAAGGAUAACAAAUUAAAUAUUGAGUUUGCAGACUUCUACACAUACACACAAUACAGAGAAGAACAGAACCUUCUGUGUGUGUGUGUGUGUGUGUGUUUUGUGACUUCCAGUCAUUUGAAGAGGUGCGUGCCCAGGUGCACUUGUUUGCCAGUGAAAUCAAACACUUUUCUACCUCUGGCACUAAUAAGUUAAUGACAUGAUUGAUUGGCUGUGCCAAUACUCAGUCAAUGCUCUCUCUCACUCGGACUGCAUCCAUAAUUGCACCUAGUGUAGGGGAAGGCACAUACAAAAUACAUCUGCAGUACACAUGUAGCAUACAAUGUGUGUAUUUAUAGGCAGCAAGCUGUUUAUUACACAUUGGCCCCUAGAACUAGAACCCUCUGGCAUAUGAACUCUUCGAGGCCACAGCAUAAAAGGGAUGCGGCCGCCAGGUGAAGUGGAAACAGGAGAACCUAUUCAUCUGCAGACUUCAUAGAAAAUGACGCUCUCGACCACGCUACUAUAAAGUGGCUGGAGGAUGCAGACAUACCAGUCUGAAUUGUGAAAGACAAAAAAUGAAACGAACAAUGACGAGAGAAAAUAUGAACCUCUAGGGGAAUAUGGGCUGCAGGUUGCGGAUGCAUAGGUCAAUGUCGGCGGUAACAGAGUGAGUUUGGCGUAUAGAUGUACUAUAACUGUGUGAACUGAACAGAAUGCGCAUGUGCGAGUGAACUAGUGCCUGUCUGGCAGAGACGUGAGGUGAGAGAGGUGAGUGAGGGUGUCGAGAGGAGGAUGUGAGAAUGUCGGAGUGUCUGUUAAGGGAGAGAUCCUCUGGCCUUUAAAGGCUACUUACAUUACAGGUGUAGGUCAUUGGAAUUAACAUUCUCAAAGUUCCUAGAAUUCCCUCUCAAAUUCUCAGUCCACUUCCCCAUUCCUAGGUUCUUUAUUGGCUCUACUGUAAACUUAAGUGGACCCUGAUGUCCAAUGUUAGGCAAAUAAAGAUCAGGGUGAACCCUUUGAGUGUACA